rnacentral:lncRNA from 1 species
AAAGGAGAAGGAGGAAUAGGCACUGUGGCCUUGUUAAAUCCAACAGGCUGCCUAUUAGUAUGGACAUUGAAAGAGACAGAGUCUGGAUUAUAGUGAGAAGAAGACUGAACUUGUCUUUGCUUCUCAUCAUUGAGGACCAUAUUAUAGAUGUCAACAGAAGGAGGAGGCUGCAUCAUCAAAAGAUUACUCCUGACCCCCAUAUAUGCUUCAUUCAGACCCAUUAAAAACUGAAAGACCUUAUUGUCAUCACUUUCCUGUACUAUACCAUCUUUUGCAGCUCUAAGGACCCUUAAGAGGUGUGGGACAACUCUCUUUUCAAUUCAAAGAUUUUGGUCCUAUUUGCAGUGCCAUAUGUAGCCUGGAGUUGGGACCAUAUGCUCUGUGCAGUGUCAGAGUACUGCACAGAUUCAGCAAUCGGAGGGGAGAGGGAAGCAGUUAACCAAGAAAUCACCAUGUUGUUGCACCUAUCCCACAACCUUUGUUGAGCCACAUUAAUGGCAUGUCGGGAACAUGUGCCAUCAACAAAACCAAUUUUGUUUUUGGCUGAUAAAGCAACAAUCAUUUUACGUCUC